rnacentral:rRNA from 1 species
GAUUGAACGCUGGCGGCAGGCCUAACACAUGCAAGUCGAGCGGAUGAAGAGAGCUUGCUCUCUGAUUCAGCGGCGGACGGGUGAGUAAUGCCUAGGAAUCUGCCUGGUAGUGGGGGACAACGUCUCGAAAGGGACGCUAAUACCGCAUACGUCCUACGGGAGAAAGCAGGGGACCUUCGGGCCUUGCGCUAUCAGAUGAGCCUAGGUCGGAUUAGCUAGUUGGUGAGGUAAUGGCUCACCAAGGCGACGAUCCGUAACUGGUCUGAGAGGAUGAUCAGUCACACUGGAACUGAGACACGGUCCAGACUCCUACGGGAGGCAGCAGUGGGGAAUAUUGGACAAUGGGCGAAAGCCUGAUCCAGCCAUGCCGCGUGUGUGAAGAAGGUCUUCGGAUUGUAAAGCACUUUAAGUUGGGAGGAAGGGUUGUAGAUUAAUACUCUGCAAUUUUGACGUUACCGACAGAAUAAGCACCGGCUAACUCUGUGCCAGCAGCCGCGGUAAUACAGAGGGUGCAAGCGUUAAUCGGAAUUACUGGGCGUAAAGCGCGCGUAGGUGGUUUGUUAAGUUGGAUGUGAAAGCCCCGGGCUCAACCUGGGAACUGCAUUCAAAACUGACAAGCUAGAGUAUGGUAGAGGGUGGUGGAAUUUCCUGUGUAGCGGUGAAAUGCGUAGAUAUAGGAAGGAACACCAGUGGCGAAGGCGACCACCUGGACUGAUACUGACACUGAGGUGCGAAAGCGUGGGGAGCAAACAGGAUUAGAUACCCUGGUAGUCCACGCCGUAAACGAUGUCAACUAGCCGUUGGGAGCCUUGAGCUCUUAGUGGCGCAGCUAACGCAU